CCCUUAGAUGUUCUGGGCUGCACGCGCGCUACACUGAAGCGUUCAACGAGUAUUCACCUUGCCCGGGAGGGUUGGGUAAUCUUUUGAAAACGCUUCGUGAUGGGGAUAGAUUAUUGCAAUUAUUAAUCUUCAACGAGGAAUGCCUAGUAAGCGCAAGUCAUCAGCUUGCGUUGAUUACGUCCCUGCCCUUUGUACACACCGCCCGUCGCUCCUACCGAUUGAAUGGUCCGGUGAAGCGUUCGGACCGUGGCCUUUGGACGGUUCGCCGUCUGUUGGCUGCGGGAAGUUCGUUAAACCUUAUCAUUUAGAGGAAGGAGAANUCGUAACA
rnacentral:rRNA from 1 species